UAGGUGGGUUGACAGACACUUCGUGCUUCCCCUGGACCAGCUCCAGAGCAUGGUGAUGCAAUAAGCAUCCCGGAGGCUUAGCUGUCACUUGUCACCUUUCAGGUUACGGGGCAGAUUUUAGAAGCUGUUUCUCCUUGCUCGGUGCUUUUCCUGCUUCAGGUGAGGAGGCUGGUUUGAGAAAAACAGAAGUGAUGUGGCUGCCCCCUCUCCCUCUCAGCCCUGUCUGCGCUCUUCCCUGCAUGGUCUAUGGAGAGCCUCCUGCUGAGUGUCCUUGCUCUGCCUUGGCCCACUGACACCCAGCUGUUGCUGUCUCUGCCAGGAAGAAGUCCCAGCACAGAACAUGAAGAGGGACAAUUGAUGCAGCUUCUGCUCUAUGAAGGUGGAUUCUUUGGGACCCAGAUGAGGGGAACCUCCCCAAUCCAGUCGUUUGAAGGAAGUGACAUGGAGAUAGCUUCAUGGUGGUAGGGGACAUACAGACAUGAACAGUGGGAGCAUAAAGUUAAGGGAAGCAUUCUAUAAAAUGGGUGCUGAUUCCCAAUUUACCUGCAGCUCUGACUGGCUUAAGAUGAUAGGAUAUGUCACAUUCCUCAGCAAACUACCUGUUAUCUUCAGGUGAAAUGCAGGCCCCGAAAUGCUGAUAGAAAGAACAUGAUUUAUUCUAAAGGUAGGGGGUGAAUUUUUGUGACCCUUACACAGACCAGAUCCCAGAACUCAGGGAGAUAAAGAUAAGUGCCUCCAACCACAAAUUCUGUAAGAACAGGUUCCAAUUAAAACCAGUCAACAUGGGCCAAAGGGACCUAGAAUUAUCAUGGCAGUCAGGACUUGAAAGUCUGAUGUCACUCUGCUGUCAGUCAAAACUCAAGAAGGGGACCUGGGAAGACACUCUGGAAACUUCUCUGGGACCCCUGAUAAAACUGGAAAGCAAGAGAGGCGUGCUGUCCCUCUCUUCGUGAGAAGGCCCCACUCUCUACUUUGAGAAUGUCCCUCUUUCCUCUUUUCUAUCCCUUCAAAUAAACUCAUGCCUGUUACUGA